CAGAUACAGUGAUGAUGGCAUAGUUCAUCAGAGUGUCCUGUGAUGAAUACCAGGAUCUUGUCUUUCGCUCCUAUCUGAUGUAUCUG
rfam:Calypte anna contig34873, whole genome shotgun sequence.